CGAUUUAUCGGAGUUGAAGAGGGAGGGUAUCUAGAACAAAGACUCAUUAUGGGGGAGCUUGUAACUGAGAAGCAUGUCCAAUACAUUUUGUCAGUUGAAAAGAGGAAGGAUGACUUUAUAUCUGUUGCAAUGGACUAUCUGAGAAUGAAUGGGGCACACUGGGGAUUGACCACUCUAGAUCUUCUAGGGAAGCUUGAUGCUGUAGGUGUGGAUGAGGUUGUCUCAUGGAUCAUGAAAUGCCAGCA